rnacentral:misc_RNA from 1 species
ACACUUUACAUCCACGUGUCUAAACAUCCGUUAGACAUAAACCCCCUUCUAAGCGAACUAGUCGGCUAUGGGAUUCCGAUUCCAUACCGUCAUAUUUUUUCUCCUUGUUUUUACUAUUAAUUUUUUAAACCCAAUUGAAACUUCUAGACUGAAACUUUGUUGCAGAUUAGCGAAAGCUUUUCUUGCAUCGAAAAAAACAAAAUUCUAUA